AACGAACGCUGGCGGCAGGCUUAACACAUGCAAGUCGAGCGCCCCGCAAGGGGAGCGGCAGACGGGUGAGUAACGCGUGGGAAUCUGCCCUUUGCUACGGAAUAACUCAGAGAAAUUUGUGCUAAUACCGUAUAAUGUCGUAAGACCAAAGAUUUAUCGGCAAUGGAUGAGCCCGCGUUGGAUUAGCUAGUUGGUGGGGUAAAGGCCUACCAAGGCGACGAUCCAUAGCUGGUCUGAGAGGAUGAUCAGCCACACUGGGACUGAGACACGGCCCAGACUCCUACGGGAGGCAGCAGUGGGGAAUAUUGGACAAUGGGCGCAAGCCUGAUCCAGCCAUGCCGCGUGAGUGAUGAAGGCCCUAGGGUUGUAAAGCUCUUUCACCGGUGAAGAUAAUGACGGUAACCGGAGAAGAAGCCCCGGCUAACUUCGUGCCAGCCGCCGCCGUAACAC
rnacentral:rRNA from 1 species